AUUGAACGCUAGCGAUAGGCCUAACACAUGCAAGUCGAGGGGCAUCACAUGAAGUAGCAAUACGGAUGGUGGCGACCGGCGCACGGGUGAGUAACACGUAUGCAACCUGCCUUCAACAAGGGGAUAACCCGUUGAAAGACGGACUAAUACCCUAUAACACAGGGGUCCCGCAUGGGGAUAUUUGUUAAAGGACAACCGGUUGAAGAUGGGCAUGCGUUCCAUUAGCUAGUUGGCGGGGUAACGGCCCACCAAGGCAACGAUGGAUAGGGGAACUGAGAGGUUUAUCCCCCACACUGGUACUGAGACACGGACCAGACUCCUACGGGAGGCAGCAGUGAGGAAUAUUGGUCAAUGGACGCAAGUCUGAACCAGCCACGUCGCGUGAAGGAAGACGGCCCUACGGGUUGUAAACUUCUUUUGCAAGGGAAUAAAGUGGGCCACGUGUGGCCUUUUGCAAGUACCUUGCGAAUAGGAUCGGCUAACUCCGUGCCAGCAGCCGCGGUAAUUACGC
rnacentral:rRNA from 1 species